rnacentral:rRNA from 1 species
UACGUAGGGCGCAAGCGUUAUCCGGAAUUACUGGGCGUAAAGAGCUCGUAGGUGGUUUGUCGCGUUGUUCGUGAAAACUCACAGCUCAACUGUGGGCGUGCGGGCGAUACGGGCAGACUUGAGUACUGCAGGGGAGACUGGAAUUCCUGGUGUAGCGGUGGGAAUGCGCAGAUAUCAGGAGGAACACCGGUGGCGAAGGCGGGUCUCUGGGCAGUAACUGACGCUGAGGAGCGAAAGCGUGGGGAGCAAACAGG